AAUCCAUAAUAUUUUUUCUAAGAUUGUUAGAGAUCCAAUCUCGUAAGAAAAAGAUUAAAACUUAAUAAUUACUCUAUUGGUAAUUAGAGAUGAGGAACGCGAACAAAGAGUCGCCCUUUAGUUCAUAGUUUCAAUCAUAUUAGCAAAAGUUAAAAGAAUAAAAAAUCUAUACAUAUAGAUAAAGCGGAUAAAUGAAAAUGAUAUGGCCUUUUUUUCUUUCAAUUUUAUCCUUUAUCAAUUGUUAUAAUUACUAUCAAUUAUUAAAUUUAAAAAAAAUACAAAAAUAAACUCAUUUAUUAAAUAUGUAACCUCCAUAACUUCCUCUACCACAUCAAAUAUACUAAAUAACAUCCUCCAAUACGACUAUAUAUGAUAACUGGAUAUGGAAUAAGAAGAUAAAAAAAUACAGGUUUAGAAUGGAUCAGAGAGAGAAUAAUGGUUUCAAAAUACAAUAGUAUAAAGGAAACAUAUAUUUAUAUAAAUAGAAGGAAACUAUAUAUUUCAAAAAUCAGCACACAAUUGAUUAAGAAAGUCCAUCAAACAAUUGAUUAAAAAAGUGAUAAUAGAGUUUGUAAAAAACACUAUCCAGGUGACUUUGAGUGUGUAAUUAUGAAUUACAAAGGUGUUCAUUGGAAGUCCGUAAGAUAUAAAACACAAUCUUGAACCUUUGGUGUUCAUUGGAAGUCCGUAAUACAUAAAACACAAUCUUGAACCUUUAGAUGAUUCACUAUCCCUUCUUGACGAUCUUCUUGACGAUGCUGGGCUUGACGGUCGUGGGGGUGCGGGGGUGUAGCUUCAAGGUCGUGGGGUGUAGCUUGACUGAUACUCAUUUUAGUGAUUUUCUGUGAUCAUGCAUAUAAAGAAAUAGUUGAUUUUAUUAUAUAGGGGUGGAUAUUGGGCCGGUAACCCGGGCCAAUGCCACCGUUGGCCCAGCGAUAAUUUUAUUUUAACUCAUUUGAAACAACAUAUUUUAUUUUUUUAAAUAAUAAAUAU
rnacentral:lncRNA from 1 species